rnacentral:rRNA from 1 species
AGUGAACGCUGGCGGUAGGCCUAACACAUGCAAGUCGAACGGCAGCACAGUAAGAGCUUGCUCUUACGGGUGGCGAGUGGCGGACGGGUGAGGAAUACAUCGGAAUCUACUUUUUCGUGGGGGAUAACGUAGGGAAACUUACGCUAAUACCGCAUACGACCUACGGGUGAAAGCAGGGGAUCUUCGGACCUUGCGCGAUUGAAUGAGCCGAUGUCGGAUUAGCUAGUUGGCGGGGUAAAGGCCCACCAAGGCGACGAUCCGUAGCUGGUCUGAGAGGAUGAUCAGCCACACUGGAACUGAGACACGGUCCAGACUCCUACGGGAGGCAGCAGUGGGGAAUAUUGGGCAAUGGGCGCAAGCCUGAUCCAGCUAUACCGCGUGGGUGAAGAAGGCCUUCGGGUUGUAAAGCCCUUUUGUUGGGAAAGAAAAGCAGCAGGUUAAUACCCCGCUGUUCUGACGGUACCCAAUGAAUAAGCACCGGCUAACUUCGUG